rnacentral:rRNA from 1 species
UACGAAGGGGGCUAGCGUUGUUCGGAAUUACUGGGCGUAAAGCGCACGUAGGCGGACAUUUAAGUCAGGGGUGAAAUCCCGGGGCUCAACCCCGGAACUGCCUUUGAUACUGGGUGUCUUGAGUGUGGUAGAGGUGAGUGGAAUUCCGAGUGUAGAGGUGAAAUUCGUAGAUAUUCGGAGGAACACCAGUGGCGAAGGCGGCUCACUGGUCCACAACUGACGCUGAGGUGCGAAAGCGUGGGGAGCAAACAGG